rnacentral:rRNA from 1 species
UUAAGCGACUAAGCGUACACGGUGGAUGCCCUGGCAGUCAGAGGCGAUGAAGGACGUGCUAAUCUGCGAAAAGCGUCGGUAAGGUGAUAUGAACCGUUACAGCCGGCGAUGUCCGAAUGGGGAAACCCAGUGCAAUUCGUUGCACUAUCGUUAACUGAAUACAUAGGUUAACGAGGCGAACCGGGGGAACUGAAACAUCUAAGUACCCCGAGGAAAAGAAAUCAACCGAGAUUCCCCCAGUAGCGGCGAGCGAACGGGGAGCAGCCCAGAGUCUGAAUCAGCUUGUGUGUUAGUGGAACGGUCUGGAAAGUCCGACGGUACAGGGUGAUAGUCCCGUACACCAAAAUGCACAGGUUGUGAACUCGAAGAGUAGGGCGGGACACGUGGUAUCCUGUCUGAAUAUGGGGGGACCAUCCUCCAAGGCUAAAUACUCCUGACUGACCGAUAGUGAACCAGUACCGUGAGGGAAAGGCGAAAAGAACCCCGGCGAGGGGAGUGAAAAAGAACCUGAAACCGUGUACGUACAAGCAGUGGGAGCACCUUCGGGUGUGACUGCGUACCUUUUGUAUAAUGGGUCAGCGACUUAUAUUCUGUAGCAAGGUUAACCGUAUAGGGGAGCCGCAGGGAAACCGAGUCUUAACUGGGCGUUAAGUUGCAGGGUAUAGACCCGAAACCCGGUGAUCUAGCCAUGGGCAGGUUGAAGGUUGGGUAACACUAACUGGAGGACCGAACCGACUAAUGUUGAAAAAUUAGCGGAUGACUUGUGGCUGGGGGUGAAAGGCCAAUCAAACCGGGAGAUAGCUGGUUCUCCCCGAAAGCUAUUUAGGUAGCGCCUCGUGAAUUCAUCUUCGGGGGUAGAGCACUGUUUCGGCUAGGGGGUCAUCCCGACUUACCAACCCGAUGCAAACUACGAAUACCGAAGAAUGUUAUCACGGGAGACACACGGCGGGUGCUAACGUCCGUCGUGAAGAGGGAAACAACCCAGACCGCCAGCUAAGGUCCCAAAGUCAUGGUUAAGUGGGAAACGAUGUGGGAAGGCACAGACAGCCAGGAUGUUGGCUUAGAAGCAGCCAUCAUUUAAAGAAAGCGUAAUAGCUCACUGGUCGAGUCGGCCUGCGCGGAAGAUGUAACGGGGCUAAACCAUGCACCGAAGCUGCGGCAGCGACACUAUGUGUUGUUGGGUAGGGGAGCGUUCUGUAAGCCUGCGAAGGUGUGCUGUGAGGCAUGCUGGAGGUAUCAGAAGUGCGAAUGCUGACAUAAGUAACGAUAAAGCGGGUGAAAAGCCCGCUCGCCGGAAGACCAAGGGUUCCUGUCCAACGUUAAUCGGGGCAGGGUGAGUCGACCCCUAAGGCGAGGCCGAAAGGCGUAGUCGAUGGGAAACAGGUUAAUAUUCCUGUACUUGGUGUUACUGCGAAGGGGGGACGGAGAAGGCUAUGUUAGCCGGGCGACGGUUGUCCCGGUUUAAGCAUGUAGGCUGAUUGUCCAGGCAAAUCCGGAUAAUCAAGGCUGAGGUGUGAUGACGAGGCACUACGGUGCUGAAGUAACAAAUGCCCUGCUUCCAGGAAAAGCCUCUAAGCAUCAGGUAACAUCAAAUCGUACCCCAAACCGACACAGGUGGUCAGGUAGAGAAUACCAAGGCGCUUGAGAGAACUCGGGUGAAGGAACUAGGCAAAAUGGUGCCGUAACUUCGGGAGAAGGCACGCUGGUGUGUAGGUGAAGUCCCUGCGGAUGGAGCUGAGACCAGUCGAAGAUACCAGCUGGCUGCAACUGUUUAUUAAAAACACAGCACUGUGCAAACACGAAAGUGGACGUAUACGGUGUGACGCCUGCCCGGUGCCGGAAGGUUAAUUGAUGGGGUUAUCCGUAAGGAGAAGCUCUUGAUCGAAGCCCCGGUAAACGGCGGCCGUAACUAUAACGGUCCUAAGGUAGCGAAAUUCCUUGUCGGGUAAGUUCCGACCUGCACGAAUGGCGUAAUGAUGGCCAGGCUGUCUCCACCCGAGACUCAGUGAAAUUGAACUCGCUGUGAAGAUGCAGUGUACCCGCGGCAAGACGGAAAGACCCCGUGAACCUUUACUAUAGCUUGACACUGAACAUUGAGCCUUGAUGUGUAGGAUAGGUGGGAGGCUUUGAAGCGUGGACGCCAGUCUGCGUGGAGCCAACCUUGAAAUACCACCCUUUAAUGUUUGAUGUUCUAACGUUGGCCCCUGACCGGGGUUGCGGACAGUGUCUGGUGGGUAGUUUGACUGGGGCGGUCUCCUCCCAAAGCGUAACGGAGGAGCACGAAGGUUAGCUAAUCCUGGUCGGACAUCAGGAGGUUAGUGCAAUGGCAUAAGCUAGCUUGACUGCGAGCGUGACGGCGCGAGCAGGUGCGAAAGCAGGUCAUAGUGAUCCGGUGGUUCUGAAUGGAAGGGCCAUCGCUCAACGGAUAAAAGGUACUCCGGGGAUAACAGGCUGAUACCGCCCAAGAGUUCAUAUCGACGGCGGUGUUUGGCACCUCGAUGUCGGCUCAUCACAUCCUGGGGCUGAAGUAGGUCCCAAGGGUAUGGCUGUUCGCCAUUUAAAGUGGUACGCGAGCUGGGUUUAGAACGUCGUGAGACAGUUCGGUCCCUAUCUGCCGUGGGCGCUGGAGAAUUGAGGGGGGCUGCUCCUAGUACGAGAGGACCGGAGUGGACGCAUCACUGGUGUUCGGGUUGUCAUGCCAAUGGCACUGCCCGGUAGCUAAAUGCGGAAGAGAUAAGUGCUGAAAGCAUCUAAGCACGAAACUUGCCCCGAGAUGAGUUCUCCCUGAGACUUUAAGUCUCCUGAAGGAACGUUGAAGACGACGACGUUGAUAGGCCGGGUGUGUAAGCGCAGCGAUGCGUUGAGCUAACCGGUACUAAUGAACCGUGAGGCUUAACCUU